GAUGAACGCUGGCGGCAUGCCUAAUACAUGCAAGUCGGGCGAACGGACGAGAAGCUUGCUUCUCUGAUGUUAGCGGCGGACGGGUGAGUAACACGUGGAUAACCUACCUAUAAGACUGGGAUAACUUCGGGAAACCGGAGCUAAUACCGGAUAAUAUUUUGAACCGCAUGGUUCAAAAGUGAAAGACGGUCUUGCUGUCACUUAUAGAUGGAUCCGCGCUGCAUUAGCUAGUUGGUAAGGUAACGGCUUACCAAGGCAACGAUGCAUAGCCGACCUGAGAGGGUGAUCGGCCACACUGGAACUGAGACACGGUCCAGACUCCUACGGGAGGCAGCAGUAGGGAAUCUUCCGCAAUGGGCGAAAGCCUGACGGAGCAACGCCGCGUGAGUGAUGAAGGUCUUCGGAUCGUAAAACUCUGUUAUUAGGGAAGAACAUAUGUGUAAGUAACUGUGCACAUCUUGACGGUACCUAAUCAGAAAGCCACGGCUAACUACGUG
rnacentral:rRNA from 1 species